rnacentral:snRNA from 1 species
UUGCUCAGUUUGGCAGCACAUAUACUAAAAAAUUGGAAUGAUACAGAGAAGAUUAGCAUGGCCCCUGCACAAGUAUGUCACACAAAUUUGUGACGCAUUUUAAUAGAUU